GACGAACGCUGGCGGCGUGCUUAACACAUGCAAGUCGAACGGAAAGGCCCUGCUUUUGUGGGGUGCUCGAGUGGCGAACGGGUGAGUAACACGUGAGUAACCUGCCCUUGACUUUGGGAUAACUUCAGGAAACUGGGGCUAAUACCGGAUAGGAGCUCCUGCUGCAUGGUGGGGGUUGGAAAGUUUCGGCGGUUGGGGAUGGACUCGCGGCUUAUCAGCUUGUUGGUGGGGUAGUGGCUUACCAAGGCUUUGACGGGUAGCCGGCCUGAGAGGGUGACCGGCCACAUUGGGACUGAGAUACGGCCCAGACUCCUACGGGAGGCAGCAGUGGGGAAUAUUGCACAAUGGGCGGAAGCCUGAGGCAGCAACGCCGCGGGCGGGAUGACGGCCUUCGGGUUGUAAACCGCUUUCGCCUGUGACGAAGCGUGAGUGACGGUAAUGGGUAAAGAAGCACCGGCUAACUACGUG
rnacentral:rRNA from 1 species